rnacentral:rRNA from 1 species
GAUGAACGCUGGCGGCGUGCCUAAUACAUGCAAGUCGAGCGGACGGACGCGGCGCUUGCUUCUCUGUUGUUAGGGGAGCGCGGGUGAGUAACACGUGGAUACCCUACCUAUAAGACUGGUAACACUUCGGGAAACCGGAGCUAAUACCGGAUGAUCUUUUGAAGCGCGUGGUUGAAUAGUGAAAGACGGUCUUGCGGUCACUUCUAGAUGGAUCCGCGCUGCAUUAGCUAGUUGGUAAGGUAACGGCUUUCCAAGGCAACGAUGCAUAGCCGACCUGAUAGGGUGGUAGCCCACACGGGAGCUGAGACGCGGUCAAUACUCCUACGGUAGGCCGCAGUAGGGAACCUUCCGCAGUAGGCGAGAGUCUGACGGAACGACGGCGCGUGAGUGGUGAAGGUCCUGGGAGCGUAAAACUCUCUUACUAGUGAAGAACAGAUGUGGAAGGAACUGUGCCCAGCGUGACGGUACCUAAUCAGAAAGCCACGGCUAACUACGUG